rnacentral:rRNA from 1 species
AAUAGAUACCCCAGGUAGUCCACGCCGUAAACGAUGAAUGUUAGCCGUCGGGCAGGUUUUACUGUUUCGGUGGCGCAGCUAACGCAUUAAACUAUUCCGCCUGGGGAGUACGGGUCGCAAGAUUAAAACUCAAAGGAAUUGAACGGGGGCCCGCGACGAAGCGGUGGAGGCAUGUGGUUUAAUUCGAAGUCAACGCGCAGAACCUUACCAGCCCUUGACAUCCCGAUCGCGGAUUACCGGAGACGUUUUCCUUCAGUUCGGCUGGGAUCGGAGACAGGUGCUGCAUGGCUGUCGUCAGCUCGUGUCGUGAGAUUGUUGGGUUAAGUCCCGCGAACGAGCGCAACCCUCGCCCUUAGUUGCCCAGCAUUUACGUUGGGCACGUUCUAAGGGGUACUGCCGGGUGAGUAGCCGAAGAGGAACGGUGGGGAUGGACGUCAAGUCCUCAUGGCCCUUACGGGGCUGGGCCUACGACACGUGCCUACGAAUGGUGGUGACAGUGGGCAGCGAGCCGCGAGGUCGGGCUAAGUCUCCAAAAGCCAUCCUCAGUUCGGAUUGCUACGUCUCG